rnacentral:rRNA from 1 species
UAGGGAAUCUUCGGCAAUGGGGGGAACCCUGACCGAGCAACGCCGCGUGAGUGAAGAAGGUUUUCGGAUCGUAAAGCUCUGUUGUUAAGGAAGAACGAGUGUGAGAAUGGAAAGUUCAUACUGUGACGGUACUUAACCAGAAAGGGACGGCUAACUACGUGCCAGCAGCCGCGGUAAUACGUAGGUCACGAGCGUUGUCCGGAUUUAUUGGGCGUAAAGCGAGCGCAGGCGGUUAGAUAAGUCUGAAGUUAAAGGCAGUGGCUCAACCAUUGUAGGCUUUGGAAACUGUUUAACUUGAGUGCAGAAGGGGAGAGUAGAAUUCCAUGUGUAGCGGUGAAAUGCGUAGAUAUAUGGAGGAACACCGGUGGCGAAAGCGGCUCUCUGGUCUGUAACUGACGCUGAGGCUCGAAAGCGUGGGGAGCGAACAGG